GGCCCAAUGGUAGAGCAUCUGCUUUGAACACAGAAGGUUCCAGGUUCAAUCCAUAGCAUCUCCA